rnacentral:lncRNA from 1 species
AGUAAAAAUUAUUUUUGUAGGUAGUAGACUUAAUUUUUAACAUUUUUAUAUAUUAUGAAAGCAAUUCAAUGGUUAAAAAAGGAAAUAUUGGUACUAAGAGCUCUGCAUUAAGAUUGGAAAAAGAGGCUGUUCAAUACUUGAAUGCAUUGUCUUGCAUUUCUCUCAAUUAGUUAGUAUAAUUGAUUUUUUUUUUAUGCUUAUUUUUACCUAAGUUUUUGAAAAGUUUGUAAAUUUUGAGUUGGUAUUAAUGCUUCAAUCAUUAGUUGUUGAGAUUUCAAUGCAUUGUAGGAUUUAUUAAGAAUUUAAUUAGGAUUUAAGAUUUGAUUAGAGUUUGGUCUAGAGUUUGAUUAGGAUUCCAUCAGGGUUUGGUUUAGAAUUUGAUUAAGAUUUAAUUUAGAAUUUGGUUAAGAUUUGGUUAGAAUUUCAUUAGGGUUUGGUCUAGAAUUUGUUUAGUAUUGAUUUGGGAUUAAUUUAUGAUUUCUUUAU